GACACUGAUCCGACCUGCUGUCUGGAGACGUCUUAAAGGGGCACUACGUAGUUUUAGAGACGAUAGUAUUAUUGAGGUAAUAAUUAGGUCCUCAGAGCACCGUGUGCAGCUAGAAAAGGUGGCAGGGUCCGCCACACAUAAACAAAGUAAAGCAGUGUGAAAGUGUGUGUCGUCCCUUUAAGGUCAGUUUGUUUAUUUGGUUUAUUCCAUCAUGAAAACAGGCGUAGUGCUGCCUCUUAAAGUCCUGACUUUAGUUUGCAAAUCAAUCAGUGAAUCAAUUUUCUUCCCCAAAAACUGCAGUGUACCCCGUUGCACUACGUAGUCUGUGAGGCAAAAUUCAAACUCAGAAUUCUUAUAUUUACAAUAUUGAUGAGGCAAUAAUACAAACUCAGUAAUAUAGAUUUUUUUUUUUCCCACCACUGAAUAAAUGAGCUGUUCUCAGAGGAACAUAAGGUCCCAGAGCACGAAAGGCGGCAGGGUCCGCCACGUAUGAACAAAGCAGAACAGUAUGAAGGUGUGUUGUCCUUUGAGGUCAGUUUGUGUAUUCAGUUAUAGGAAACUAGAGUUUGUUUAUUUUCUUUCUCUUUUGAUUUAAUUGUUUAUUUAGGAGCGACGAUGCACAGUGCAUGUCUUGUACCGGAUGUAGCUAAUAGCUAAUUUUCAGCUGUAGUAUUAAUGAUAAAAAUAAAUUCCCAUCGUCAUGCUUUUCUCAACAGCAAAUUGGCUUAACAAAUGAGAAAUUAACAUUUCUUGUAGCUGUAAAUUAAUAUUUUUUGUAGCUGAUUUAAGUUUCUGAAUAUUGAAUUAAACUGGACACCCAGUGGAAGACAUUUUUGGAGAGAAGACAGUGUUCAGACUGCAGGCAAAUCAUUUUUUUCUCUCAAAUUAGAUCUUUAGAACAGAAUGUCCCCACUAUGAUUUGCAGAUGAUUGGAUCAGAUUUUUGUGUCUAGACACAACCAACCUAUCUGCAUGGGUUGCUGCGGUGAUGAUGGGCAUCAGUAACUAUGUGCAAUGGUGACACGGAAGCUCAUGACAUUGAGAUCCAUCAUCUCGCCCUCCAAGCGAUCGUGAUGUGAAGUCGCGGGACAGACAAUUUACAUUUCGACGCGUGUCAAAAAGACACCCUGAAAUCCAGUUUGAGCAGCCAGAGCGUCCGCGCCGAAUUGCAUUUCAUACCAUCUCCAAAUGUGGCCUAAAGUUGCAUCGUUUAAAACAAUCGAUCUGUCAAUCCAGUGGUUUUGGCUUGACUGAAACAAACAUAAUUUCAUGCUAAAAUGCCCAAACUAGCCAAAAUAAGUGAGUGUUUCUCAUCAGGGCAGAGCUUCAAUCAGCGGCACACAAAGUAAAUCAAAUACAUAAUGAAACAUUCUCAUUAGAAGGCAUUCAACCCCAAAAUUGCUAAAUCGGAUUGAUUUAUAUAAAUUGAUACAGUGUAGACGUACUUUAAUGUGCCUGAAGAAAAUAAUCAUGAGUAUUCAUCAGUCAUUACCGGCCAGCAGAUCAGACUGAGGUUGUACUUGGCAGUUCUCAAGUGUGAAUGUUUGUCAGUGACUAUGAGUGAUCAAGGCAUUGCUGAAAAGAAAGUCUCACCACUCCUCAGUAAAACUUUUCCUCCACGCUGGAUCCUCGACCAGCGUCUCUUUUCAUCAUCACAAUGUCUCCACACUUUCUCUUCUCCUCUGUCAAACAGCCAGACAGGCCAAAGCAUCCAUGCCUGUACAAACCAGUCCGAGUCCCCCGGAGGACCCGAGCUCCUCGCUCUUGCCAGAGCAACAGGAGACCCUCUGCUUGACAGCCUCCCUGCCAGAGAAACUAAUCAGCCACAGGAUCCAGGCUGUUCCAGGGCCAGAUUCACGACAAGAAUAAUCUGCCUCACACACGCGCCAGUUGGGUCCGCAGACCUCGAGUACUCGAGCAGACUCCUUUCUGCCCACCAACUGUCUGCCGCUACUAAGAUGGUGACUGUGAGCCAAAGGAAGUGGACCCAGCAGAAGCCCGCCAGCUGGACGAGGCGGCAAGACAUGGAGGAGCAAAUUGCGCGCAGAAAGAUGCUCGGCUGGUGCUGAAGCCAGGAAAGCAGAUGUCAUCAAAGUUAGAGAGAACACAGUCGCCGAAUAUCAAUUAUUCAGCCAUUAAAAAUUAAUGCGCUUGGUUUUUCGGUGUAAUAUUGCACUGAAUGAUGGAUAUAUUUAUUGGGUGUCUUACAAUUGAUGUCUCUUCAUGAUUAGAUUGUAGCAUACUCACAAUCAUAUGACAGGAGAUGAAUUGAAGGUUAUUGAACCAGCAAUUCCAUGAUUAACGCCGUAAAUGGAUGUGAAUUAAUAAGAGUUUUGGCAUCAUGAUGAUGCAUGUUGAAGAGAUCUUUCCUGAAGUUAGCAUGCUAACCAGCUAGCCCGACCUGUCCCAGUCCAAAGCUCCCGUGCCAUCGGUGUGCAGCAAUUAGAGAAUACUUUGGUGCCCCUGUUUGUUUUGGGAAUGGAUUCUUCACAUGGUCAGUUCUUGAUUUUUGCAUCUCACUCCCACUCGUCAAGUAACGGCGCUUUGGGAUGGCGGCCGACGCGUCCAACAAACCCAGGCCGUUUUUAUUUGACGAGUUGGGAAUGAGACUCAAAAAUCAACUUUUCUUGCAGCUAGGACCUUUUAAGUAUUCCAUCUAUAAAAAAAAAACAAAAAAAACCCCCAAAAACUACUGGUAUAUUAAUAUAUCUUAGGCACUGUCUUAUCAAACCUGGUGUAAUUAAAGAUGGCAGAAUUUAAUUUGACUUUAUCAAUUACACGACAUGAUCAGCUGAUGUUCUUUAUAACCUCGAUGACAUAUUACAUCCGAUUGUGUAACUAAAAAAGAAAAAUGUCACUGAGUCUGCAAACGUCAAACUUAAAGCAGAUUUGCACAACUGAUGUACAAGAAUACAGUUAUAUCGUGCUCACUUUUUUAAACUCACACGUGUUACUAAUGACAUCAACAAUCGCUCUGCUCUGUCAAAACAUCUCAGUAAGCUGCGACAGUGAGGCAACAUGAACACUACUGAGACACUUUUCCUCCUUUGACCUUUCAGAAAAGGUCUCUGAUGUGUCCCUCUGUGCCACAAAACAUCUUGAUGUUUUUUUGUUUUUUUUUUGCAUUUUCUGAAUAUUUCAACAAGGUAUGGGAUCUAGAGGAGAAUAGUGAUAAAUUCCUUCUUCAUUUUUGGACUUUACAUUGUUUGGAUUUGUGCGUUGUGUCUUGUGCUUAAAGGGCUGUGUUUGCUUUUUGUGUAUCUGUUCUUCUUCUUCUUUUGUUCUUCUGGAAGGAACAAGUAUGUCUGUCACUUAAAAUAAAGUUUUUAGUGUUC